GACGAACGCUGGCGGCGUGCUUAAUACAUGCAAGUCGAACGGAAAGGCCCUGCUUUUGUGCCGUUCUCGAUUGCCGAACGGGUGAGUAACACGUGAGUAACCUGCCCUUGACUUUCGGAUAACUUUAGGAAACUCGGGCUAAUACCGGAUAUGAUCUCCUGCUCCAUGGUGGUCGAUGGAAAGUUACGGCUGUUCGGUCUGUACUCGCUGCUUAUCGGCUUGUUUGUGGAGUGGUGGCUUUCCAAGGCUUUGACGGGUACGCUGCCUGAGAGGGUGACAGGCGAAAUUGGGACUGACAUACGGCAGAGGGUGCUACGGGAGGGAGAAGUGGGGAAUCUUGAACAAUGGGCGGAAGCCUGAUGAAGCAGCGCCGCGUGCGGGAAAACGGCCUUAGGGUUGUAAACCGCUUUCGCCUGUGACGAAGCGUGAGUGACGGUAAUGGGUAAAGAAGACCCGGCUAACUAAGUG
rnacentral:rRNA from 1 species